rnacentral:tRNA from 1 species
GCCUGGGUGGCUCAGUUGGUUGAGCCUCCGACUUCGGCUCAGGUCAUGAUCUCACAGUCUGUGGGUUCGAGUCCCGCGUCGGGCU